GCCACAUAAAGGAAGAGCAGUGACUCUCGAGAGCUGGCAUCCCAGGGUGACUUCACCAUGGGCUGUCAUCGCUGAGGCCAUAAAAAGCCAAAAGCACUACCCUUGAGUCAUCCUAGCCCCUUGGAGCCAAAAACGUAGCAACGUCACGUCUGUAGUUGACCUCGGUUCCGGGCACCUUCCUGAGCAUUCUUCGGGAGGCACUUGUGAAACUCAGCCCAGGUGCUGCCCAGGAUCAGGAGGCUGAGACGUGAUCUGGAAGUGAGUGCCCAUCCAUACACCUUCCCCAGCUUUGGGGCCACAGAGGGACAGAAACCGCAGGCAGGCUGGCCUGGGAAUGAACCUACACCAGCCUGAAGUCAGAAGAGCCUCUAGGAGCCUCCAGCCUGGACUCUUUUUACAGAUGGGGAAACUGAGUCCCAGAGAGGGAGCAAUGAAGGAUGUCUAAGGUCAUCAGCAACGUAAAGCCAACAGCAUCAUCCUGAGUCAUGUUUGAACCUGAGGGAAAGAAACAUAUGUUCGAAGAGGUUCUGAGGCUGCUGCACCCGAUAUCAUACCUGGUUGGCCCUGGGAAAGGGCCCACCUCCAAUACAUAAACACAACCAGCUUUGACAGUGAGCCCUGAAGCAUGGCAUUGAGAAGCUGCCUAAGAAGGAGGCAGAUCCAUCAGCCUGGGUGCCCGACUGAUUACCCUGAGCAGAGCUCCCCAGCCCACCUGUGAUGGACGCAUGGAGCUUGAGCAAGGAAUAAAUAUUCGUUGCUGGACUCUGAUUACACUGGACCUAUCCAAGAUCUGAGAUCAUCAACUCAUCUCAAAAUCCUUAAGCUGACCACAGCAGCAUCGUCCCUUUUGCAGUGUAAGGGAGCCCAGCUGGGACAAUGUGUGAAUCAACGCAUGAAGGAGUGAGUGAGCAGCUAACCAAAUGAAAGAAUACUCAGAUAUCUGGGGUACAGUUCCCCUCCAGGUUUGCACAGCAUCUGCUGAAGUCUCCACUAGAAACUCAAUGGAAGGUCCCCACCGGAAACUGAAAGUCUCCUAGAGUGGCUUUGAGUUGCGGUUUCACCCUCCCUGCAGAUCCACAGGGGAGGCUGGGGCAGAUGGAAAAUACCAACUUGAUGGUCUGUGGCCACACCAUGCUGCUCCCCAAGGCCCCUCAGAAUUUCACUGCCCAAUAUGGUAGCGCCCAGCCUGAAACGUGGCCAGUGUGAAUUGAGAUGGGCUGGAAAUGCACCAGACUUCCAAGAGCUGGACAAAAACCAUAUACUUUCCAUCCAGCUGUUUGGCAUUGGAUACUGCUGCCUCUGCUUGACUUGAGAAUGUGUGAGAAAAGCUGUGUUUAGACAACUGAAAACCAUGAGCUUGAAAGUAGUGGGGGCACACUCUUGGAGACUCCAGUUGCUCACCAGCUUGGACAAACCACUGGACUCAAAUGAUCAGGUAGAAAUUCAUCACUGGAGAGAACACAGUGGAAUGGCUUCAGCGAAAACUCACUCUGAAGGUCUUCAGGGCAACUUUAAGACUUGCCCCUGGCCGGGCACAGUGGCUUAUGCCUAUAAUCCCAGCACUUUGGGAGGCCGAGGCGGGUGGAUCACCUGAGGUCAGGAGUUCAAGACCAGCCUGGCCAAUAUGGCGAAACCCUGUCUCUACUAAAAAUCCAAAAAAUUAGCCGGGCGUGGUCGUGGGCGCCUGUAAUCCCAGCAACUCGAGAGGCUGAGGCAGGAGAAUUGCCUGAACCCGGGAGGCAGAGUUUGAAGACAGCCGAGAUUGCACCACUGGGCAACAAGAGCAAAACUCCAUCUCAAAAAAAAAAAAAAAAAAAAAAAUACUUGCCCCGGCUUUUUGUGUGAUGGACUUUCUAUUUACAGACGUGAUAUUUAUCUAUGACUUUACUCAGAGUCUGGCUCAUAGACCAGAAGGACUGGUAUCUCCUGGAGCUUGCAGGAAAUGCAAAAUCUCAAACCCCUGUAUUAGUCAGGGUUCUCCAGAGAAGUAGAGCCAAUGGGAUAGAGACAGGGAUAGGGAUGAUAGAGAUGGAGAUAGAGGUAGAGAUCCAUUGAUUCCUCUGUUAAUAAAUUGGCUCAUGCAGUUGUGACAAUUUCGAAAUCUGCAAGGUAUGUCAGCAAGCUGGAGACCCAGGGAACAGUUGAUGUUGCACCUUGAGUACAAAGGCAGUGUGUCUGGAGCCAUAAUAUCUUCUUGUUAGGAAGACUUUGGUCUUUUCUCUUCUGGCCUUCAACUGCUUGGGUGAGGCCCGUCCCCACUACAGAAGACAAUAGUCUGUUCUACUCAGAGUCUACUGAUUUAAAUGCUCAUCUCAUCCCAAAAAAUACCCUCACAGCAACAUUUAGCCUGUGCAUUUGACCAAACAACUGGGUACCAUGCCCCCCCUCCCAAGUUGACACACAAAAUUGACCAUCAUACCCUCCCCACCCCCAGUCUUACUGAAUGAGAGAGAAUCUGUGCUUCAACAAGAUCCCCAGAAGAGGUAUAAGCGCAGGGAAGUCUGAGAAGCACCACCUUUGAGGCUUAUCCAGGAUGCCCACAUGAGCCUUCUCUGGAUAUGUCAGAUCCCCUUCCUGGCCCCCUAGACACCUCCUCCACUCCCCAAACUUGGAAGCAACAUUGUGGGGAAGCAGGCAGUGAGGCGCUCAGUCUACCACGUUGUGAGAUACACAGCUCCAUCUGUGUAUCAUGAUUUGAUCCAAGGGAAAACAAAAGAUCCAGAAACAUAAGUACUUUUUUGUGAGCUCUCAAAAACUUCCUGUGACAAGAUCAGGUCGUUGAUGCGAGAGCCACACUUGUUUCUUUUUCCUCUUUAUUCUCCACCUCUGACAUAAUACUUAGCAUAAAAAAAAAUCCAAUAAACACCACUGAAUCAAUUAUCUAAGCCUCAGUUUCCCUCUUGUAAUAUGUACUUACCUGGUUGUGGUAGGAAAGACACCAGGCAUGAGAAACACUUAAAAGCCCAGGACCCUGAGCUGGGCACAUGGUAGGUACUCAGGAAGUCAUUGCCGAGUGUUCAGUGCAUGCUUGUUGAAUGAGUAAAUGAGGUCAGGCUUCAGCAUGCAAACACUCGCUAUAAAGCAGGAACCCUGUGCCCUGAGUGCACAAAAUAGAUAUCGAGAAGGAACACAGGCUCAGACAUCAGUGCCAUAUCUGAAGACAUUCAGCUAAUAACAGGAUGGAGUCCAAUCUGAAACAACUGUCACGCUGAGCCUAAUUGCUGAAGAUGGUUGAAGGCACCAGGAGGCUGGAGUUUCCUGGAGGUGGUUUGUGGCCAACCGUCAAUUACUUGGGCUGCUGUGCAGUGGGGAUAGAAGGAUGAUUAGAAUCCACAGACAACCCAUUGGCCUUUGUUUACCAUUAACUUCUGUUUUCUCCACCAGCCAAGCUCCUCCAGACCCAGGAGAUGGCUCUUCCCUCUGUGUAGCACACUCUUUCCAGUCAAGGGGUCUUGCACUGCUAUUUCCCCUUCUGCUUUGCUUGGUUCAUUCUUACUGACCCUCCAAAUACUGAAGGAAUGAAUGGAGAAAUAAGUAAAUGAGAGAUGUGGCCAAGAGUCUCCAAGAGAGGAAAUUAAAAAAUCCUAUACCUGUGAGGAACUGGCCCACUUGCAAAAGGCGGACUCAUUUGUCACUGUGUUUGCUGGCUGCUCGCACCACACAGUUUCCAGCCUAGGCAUUAUUUCCAACCUCUUUUUCCAAAGGGUCUUUCUAAGGUACAGAAAAUGGACAUAAAAUCGCCCAACGUAGUUGAGAGGUAAGGAGUAAAAGCCGGAAUUUGAACUCCUAAUCUCCUGCCACGAUUUCAUGCUGCCUCUGGGUAAUCUCCCAGCACGUUGCUUAAUCAGCUGCUGAGUCAUUGAGAGCCGGCAGAACCAGCUUCCUGCUGAGGCAGAGUGGGAGGAGGCCCGUCUGGGAGCAGCACACUGAAGGAAGGGAGGAGGAGGUGAUGUUUGGCACAAUCGGAUUGGUUCCCAUGAGGUCCAGGGCUGCGGCUCCUACAGAAGGCACUUUUUGCAUAUGGUAGGCUUCACGGGGUGCAACCUCUGUGUUGUUAGGAGAACCUCGUGCUUGCUAUGAUGCUCUGCUGUCAUUAUCUUGAAAUUCUUAGUCACAUUAAAACACGGGAGCCUACAUGUUUAUUUUGCACUGGAUCCUGCAAAUUAGCCAGUCCUGGUACUGAGGGCAGGUCCCUGGGUGAGUCUCACACAGCCUCCAUCCUUUGGUAAAGCAGCUUUCCUGAUUUAGCAAAUGCCUUACCAGAAAGCCUUUUCCUUGAAGAUGCUUUAACUUUUGUCUUCCCUGGCAAAGCUGUUUCCUUAUGGUAAAGCACCCAGCUCAUAGCUGAUAUUCAAUCCAUGAAGUAGCUCUGUCAGCAGCUGUCAUCAUGAAGACUUUGCAGCCUGCGGGUGGUAGCAUUCUGAAUCGUCAGUCUGUCUCGCUCCUGUAGCAAAUGCACGAUCCGGGAAAGCAUGUCCCAAGCUUUGUUCUGGAGAAGAUUUCUCCAGCUAUCAGAUGGUGUCUGUCAUCACAAUAGCUUAGGAGAUGCUGCUCACUCCAUCCUCCUCACUAAGUGUCACAGUACACUUGGGUAUGUACAAGUCUCUGAGAAGUCCAGCAGCAAAGACACCUUUGUGUUUUGCUGAUUCUAGCCUUUCCUAGACUAGAAGUCUUUUUUUCUAGUCUAGGAAAAGACUGUGGAAUCUUUUCUUUUUUUUCCUGAUACACACAUUCACAUUCCGUGGAACAUUUAGGACGUGGUUAUCUGGUCCUAAAGUAGUAAAGGUGAAGAUGUUGUGGGAGGUGCAAGAAAGAGCAGCAAGGAGUAGAUGGGGCACACUGCAAAGUGCGAUCCCCACAUACCUAAGUUAGUAUCAAUUACUACUAACAAAACUCGGCCAAGACUCUUUUGCAUUCGUUUUGUUUCUCUCUUUUACCCUGAUUAUAUUAAGAAAUAUGACAGGCCUGUGACUCACUGAUUAGACCAUCUUAGUCACUUUGGGUUGUCCCAGCAACAGGAGACUUAACUCUGACCAUAGGUAAGGAGCCCAGAGGACAGGAGAGCAGGGAUUUCUGAGGAUUUAACAAAUGCUUAUAAACAAAUGAUAUCACUUUGAACAAAGUAAUCAAAGUAUCAAAUGCUAUAAACACCACAGUAGGGCAAUGUGUGAAUCAUACUUGUGGUGAGACAUACAUAGAUCAGCUGCAAAGAGGAACUCAAUUCUGCAGAACCUCAGCUGGAGUAACUGAUGUGAAACAUGGACAGGGAAAUGGAAGGAAGUCAGCGGACACGGAAACUCUAGGAACUGAACUUUGACAAGGAACGCCGUCCAUAAUCCCAAGUCCUAUGACUUCAUAGAGGAAAAAAACCCUAGUGGAGCAGAACAGGGCCUCAUAGAGGGGCUGGGGCCUCACUGAGGGCUGGGAAGUUUGAUAGGACUUCCCUUGCUGGUAAGGAACAAAACUGGGUCUCAGGUUCAGGUUUGUAAAGCUAAUUUCAUACAUUUGCAGCAGAUGCUGUCAGUGUCCCUCCCCAAGCCCCUCAGCACUCAGCAUUCAUAGACAUCCUCAUCUUGCAAGCACCUGAGUCUCUCUCUGUAAGGUUUCUGUUGGCCUCAGGGCAGACCAGGGUACCAGGGAGGGCAGACCAGGGUACCAGGGAGCACAGCCCUCAAAGAAAGAUGACAGGAGUUGGUGUAAAUCUCAUGGCUUUCAUGUUACUUAGGGGGACCAAUGCUGAGGCAUGCUUAGCAUGAUCCUCUGUGAGACUGGGCCUCAGGUGUCCGCUGCAGCCGCCUGUUCAUUAGUGUGACAUGCACGGGAUUCCUUCCGUAUCCUGGCCCCUUUCUCUACUUCCCAACCGUGCUUCCUGAGACAUACUCAAAUCCUUGUCUCACACUUGGCUUCUGGGAGAAUCCAACUGCAAAUGCUGUGUUUUAUUUUUUAUUUAUGUAUUUAAUUAUUUGGAGAUAGGGUCUCCCUCUGUCACCCAGGCUGGAGUAAAAUGGCACAAUCCUAGCUCACUGCAAUAUUAAACUCCUGGGCUCCAGUAAUCCUCAGCCUCCAGGAGCUGGAACUACAGUCGUGCACAGCAAUGCCAGCUAAAGUUUCCUUUAAAUUUUUUGUAGAGUCAAGAUCUCACUAUUUCAGUCAGGUCUUGAACUCCUUGCCUCCCAAAGUUCUGGGAUUACAGCACUUGGCCUCCCAAAGUGCUGGGAUUACAGGCGUGAGCCACUGCAUCUGGCUGUUUAUUCCAUUAAAAUGAUUGAAGGAGUCUCUUGCUUUGGGAAUUUUGCUCCCGUGGUGAGAACACUAUGGGAAUGACAUCUCAAGAAUAUGGCUCCUUCAAAUGAAUUUAAAAUGGUCUUUCUAUUUUUGUCCAGUGGUUACAAUAGCUGAUGGGCUCGAGGUAAGGAGAUGCUAAGCUGCCAUUCUCUCCUUCAACCCAUGGCAUUUACUGAGCUUCUAAAUCAGUCAGGCCCUGGGCUGGACCCUGGGCAUGCAGACUGAAUCAGAGCCUUCAGGACUAGCAGGAGAGACAGGUAUAUAUAGUGGCAAGGGCAAUAUUUAUUCACUCAUUCAUUCUUUUUCCUUUUUUAUGUGCCAAAUCUUUAAUGAGGGCCUACCUUGUACUCAGGAACACCAGGAAUAAACAGAAAACAAAAAGAUAUCAUUUCUGGACUCAGUUCACCAUCUAGAGAAAAAAAAAAAAAAAAAAAAAGACCUGAAAUGGACAAAUACAGUACUGUUUGACAAAUGUCACGUAAGAAGAAGCCCAUGAUACUGAGGAUGGUAUAGGAGGGGCCGUAUCCAGGUUGAAGGAGUCAAAUAUGACAGCUGCCGUGAGAAUUACAAUCAGAAAACCAUGACCCGGAUGCUUAUCCUAUUCAUUGCUUGAGCCUGAGAACACAAACACACAGGGUGUGGCUGAAAUUCCUCUGAAAUUGUAUUGAUUUGAGAAAACUGCAAUCUUGUGUUAAAAUGUGAAUCAUACACAAGGAUGCAAAACAGUUACCGCUGACCAUAAAUCUAGGCUAUCAGAAUGGAAUCUGAUGGCUUGUCUACCAGACUGCAUUGUGAAACCAAUCAAAUGGGAGAUAGACUCACCACUUACCAAGUACCUCUGAGACACCAGGCACCCUGUGGGGUGCCCUACUCAUCAUCUUGUUUAACCAGUUGAUUGGGAAUAGCUCCAUUUUACAGAGAAAGACUGUUAGGCAGCUUUCUAAGAUGGCCCUAAUUAUUCCUUCCUUCUGGUAAUCCCCUUCCUUUAAAUGUGGGCUACACUUAAUUACCUGCUUUUAACAAACAGAAUAUAGCAAAAGUGAUGGGAUGUCAGGAGACUGAAUCAGUAACCAAAAACCUCCAGACAAAGAAAAGCCCAGGGCCAGAGGGCUUCACUGGUAAAUUUACCAAACAUUUAAAGAAGAAUUAGCACCAGUCUUUCUCAAACUCCUCAACAAAUUGAAGAGGAGAGAACACUUCUAAAUACACUUUAUGAGGCCAGCAUUACCCUAACAUCAGAGCCAGACAAAGACACAAGAAAAGAAAACUACAGACUAAUAUUUCUAAUGAAUCUUGAUGCACAAAUCCUCAAAAAAGAAGAAAACAUACUAGCAAACAUAAUUCAGCCGCACAUUAAAAGGAUUAAGCACCAUGACAAAGUGGGAUUUAUUCUUAGUAUAAAAGGAUAUUUCAACGUAAAAAAGUCAAUGUAAUAUAUCACAUUAAUAGAAUGAUGAGAAAAAAUCCACAAGAUUAUCCCAAUUGAUGCAUUUAACAAAACUUAAUACUCUUUCAUGAAAAAACACUCAACAAACCAGGAAUACAUGAAACUACCCCAACAUAAGACAGUCCACAAAUGAAAAGCUCACAACCAACAUAAUACUCAUGGUGAAAAGCUGAAAGCUUCCUCUAAGAUCAGGAAUGAGACAAAAAUGUCCACUUUUGAAUCAACCUGUAUUCAACAUAGUAUAAGAAGUCCUCGCCAGAAUUUUCAGGAAAAAAAAAAAAGAAAGAAAAAAAAGCCAGUCAAAUUGAAAAGAAAGAAGAAAAAUUAUCUUUGCUCACAAAUGACAUGAACUUAUAAAACUCCUAGAAUUAAUAAAUGGAUGCUGCAAUGUUGAAGGAUACAAAAAUCAACACACAAAAAUCAGUUAUGUUUUUAUAUACUAACAAUGAAUGAGCCAAAAAUGAAAUUAAAACAAUUCCAUUUACAAUAGCAUCAGAAAGACUAAAAUACCUAACAAUAAACUUAACCAAGGAGGUAAAAUGCUUGAGUAUUUAGACACUAAAAAUUAUAAGGCCUGCACGGUGGUUCAUACCUGUAAUCCCAGCAUUUUGGGAGGCAGGUGGAUCACUUGAGGUUAGGAGUUUGAGACCAGCCUGGCC
rnacentral:lncRNA from 1 species